rnacentral:rRNA from 1 species
GACGAACGCUGGCGGCGUGCUUAACACAUGCAAGUCGAACGGUGAAGCGCCUUCCUUUUUGGUGGGUGUGGAUGAGUGGCGAACGGGUGAGUAACACGUGAGUAACCUGCCCCCUUCUUCUGGAUAACCGCAUGAAAGUGUGGCUAAUACGGGAUAUUCUGGGUCUGUCGCAUGAUGGGUCUGGGAAAGAUAUUGUUUCGGUGGGGGAUGGGCUCGCGGCCUAUCAGCUUGUUGGUGGGGUGAUGGCCUACCAAGGCGGUGACGGGUAGCCGGCCUGAGAGGGUGGACGGUCACACUGGGACUGAGACACGGCCCAGGCUCCUACGGGAGGCAGCAGUGGGGAAUAGUGCACAAUGGGCGCAAGCCUGAUGCAGCGACGCCGCGUGAGGGAUGGAGGCCUUCGGGUUGUGAACCUCUUUCGCCAGUGAAGCAGGCCUGCCUCGUUUGUGGGUGGGUUGACGGUAGCUGGAUAAGAAGCGCCGGCUAACUACGUA